UACGUAGGGGGCUAGCGUUGUCCGGAAUCAUUGGGCGUAAAGCGCGCGUAGGCGGCCAGAUAAGUCCGGUGUGAAAGUCAAAGGCUCAACCUUUGAAUGCCGCUGGAAACUGUCUGGCUAGAGUCCGGAAGGGGCGAGUGGAACUCCUGGUGUAGCGGUGAAAUGCGCAGAUAUCAGGAGGAACACCGAUGGCGAAGGCAAUCCCCUGGGCCUGCACUGACGCUCAUGCACGAAAGCGUGGGGAGCAAACAGG
rnacentral:rRNA from 1 species